rnacentral:rRNA from 1 species
UUCUCCCUACGGGAGGCAGCAGUGGGGAAUAUUGCACAAUGGGGGGAACCCUGAUGCAGCGACGCCGCGUGAAGGAAGAAGUAUUUCGGUAUGUAAACUUCUAUCAGCAGGGAAGAAAAAGGACGGUACCUGAGUAAGAAGCCCCGGCUAACUACGUGCCAGCAGCCGCGGUAAUACGUAGGGGGCAAGCGUUAUCCGGAUUUACUGGGUGUAAAGGGAGCGUAGACGGCAGUGCAAGUCUGGAGUGAAAGGCGGGGGCUCAACGCCCGGACUGCUCUGGAAA